ACCCAGAAAGAAAGAAAGAGUGGCUUUCAAUCGUAGGCAAGGAAUCUUGUUACAAAGGAGCUGUCAUAUGUGGUGAUCACUUUUCUGAAAGCGAUUAUCAUGAUACAGAUGGGUAUACUACCCGCCGACGUCUACUUUCAACAGCUGUGCCUAAACGGGUAAUACAUGAUGUGUCUGUAAGUGAUCCUUCAAAUCGUAAUGACUUAUCAUCAAAACAAACAUUCGAGCAAGAAGAUUCAAGUACUACAGGAAGUAGUAUCAGCAAUGAUAUAACAAGUUCCUCUGAAAGUCUUGAAAAAGAUCCAAGCACGAGUGACGAUGAUUUUUCUUGUGAUGAAGUUCUUUCAUCACCUUCAGAUGAAAGAUCAAGUGAUGCAGAAUCAAUAAAAAAAUUCUCUAGAAAAAAGAAAUCCGCAGCAUCAAGUAAUUAUCAGUCUCCAGUAAAAAGACAGAAGAAGUACACCCG